UCCACAAUAGCUUUUUUAAGCUUUGGUUGUGUUUAUGGGGUGCAAAACAAUGUGGGUUCAUUAUGCAUUUGUAAUAAAUCACGUUAUUUGUUCACAGUUCUUACCUUCAAUUUAUACAGCUACUGAGCUAACAUGGAAACGACCAUCAUAUUUCCUGGUUUGUUCUAUAAAGCCCGCCCUCAAAGGGAUCUGAUUAGUCAGCUAACCUAAUGUGUUUUGGUUGGUGGAUCGGCAUCACGUCACCAGGAAACGUCAUGCCUCUUUUGCAUGCUGUCCGUCAGACUGUAAAUAAUGUCAGUGAAGCCGUAUCAGUUUGAGCCCGAAUCAGACACAGAAAAUGAAGAGGACACAGCUGAACUAAUGCUAACGCGACUUUUGCAAGAUGUUUCGGAAUGGUACGUUUUUGUUUUGUUCAUUGGUAAGAGGAAUGUGGUCAAGCCAUCAGCAUUUCAUAGUAGUACACAGUAACACAGUAAUGGUCAGUUUGUACAAAUUACAUUCCAUACUAGUGUAAAUAGCAAAUGGUACUUUAUAUGGUGGCUGUAAGGUCUCCCUUUCUAAUGGAUAACGUUAGCAGGUAACUACUUUGUUUUUCGUUCACUUUCUGAUGUUUAACCACGCCAUAAAAAUGCGAUCGUAAUAACAUUGUACCAUAGUAAGGCUUAAUUAAAACGCACUUCAGGUAAUUAUAAAAGCUAAAUGUUUAUGCAGAAUAAAUAAAUUAAAAUGAUACUUAUAAAAAACAUGACAUCCCAUACUAGUGUAUAUAGGAAAUAGUACAUUAUAAGAUGGUUGUAAUGUCUCCGUUUGUAAUAGAGAGCAGGUAAAACGAUCUACUUUGUUUUCUCGUUCACUUCUGAGGUUUAACCACGCCAUAAAAAUGCAAUCGUAAUGGCAUUCUAUCGUAAUAAGGCUAGGACAAAUUAAAACGCACUUCAGGUAUUUAUAAAUUAUGGCUAGGCUGAAUAAAUGAAUGAAAAUAAUACUUACAAAAAUGAAAGCACGGACGAACCUAUACUGAAAACAGUGCAGUUUUGUACAUACAUAAUGAAACAUACGUUGCAGAAAAUAUAUUAUAUGUUAUAAUAUAUAUAUAUAUAUAUAUAUAUAAUAUGAAUGAUAUUUUAUUGAGUAAAACGGUCACGAAAUUACCGUAACAGUAAUAUGUGUGCUAAACAAUGAAUAGCUGCGGUCUUCACUGGAUUUCUGAAGUGCUGUUGGCUUGAUAACAUCUUUUUUUCUUCUUUUACAUCUAGUGUCAGUUUCAAAAUAGGUUGUCAUUUGUAAAUGGUAAUAGCAAUAUUUAAUAUUUUGUUUUUAUCCGUUUUGUUGAUGAAUGUUCAAUGUUAUAACAGCAACCAAUAAUUAUGUGGCAACAUAUACAAAAUCAAGCUAAUUUUUUGUUAUGGGAAUACAUUUAAUUUUCUUUAGGUGCACUUGUAAUAACUGUGAAAAAAUGCCAACAGAAGUAGAAAACAUCUGCUGCAAAGAAACACAGAAGGUUGUCCAGCGUAUGAUGCAGGUUCCAGACCCUCCUACUUGCAUGGUGCAGCAUCCUGGUUUUGAACCCAAUUGUUUAAACAUGUACACAUUACAGAAUAUAAAUAAUAUAUACAGGGCAGACUAUGGACCGUUGAGACACAGAAAUGUUGAAGAGCGUUUCCGUUAUCUGUCAUAUCGCAGCUUUGUUAGCUGGUGCUGGGGCUGGCUAGGACGUGAAGUGAGGGUUGUCA